GACGAACGCUGGCGGCGUGCCUAAUACAUGCAAGUUGAGCGAUGAAGAUUGGUGCUUGCACCAAUUUGAAGAGUAGCGAACGGGUGAGUAACGCGUGGGGAAUCUGCCUUUGAGCGGGGGACAACAUUUGGAAACGAAUGCUAAUACCGCAUAACAACUUUAAACAUAAGUUUUAAGUUUGAAAGAUGCAAUUGCAUCACUCAAAGAUGAUCCCGCGUUGUAUUAGCUAGUUGGUGAGGUAAAGGCUCACCAAGGCGAUGACACAUAGCCGACCUGAGAGGGUGAUCGGCCACAUUGGGACUGAGACACGGCCCAAACUCCUACGGGAGGCAGCAGUAGGGAAUCUUCGGCAAUGGACGAAAGUCUGACCGAGCAACGCCGCGUGAGUGAAGAAGGUUUUCGGAUCGUAAAACUCUGUUGGUAGAGAAGAACGUUGGUGAGAGUGGAAAGCUCAUCAAGUGACGGUAACUACCCAGAAAGGGACGGCUAACUACGUG
rnacentral:rRNA from 1 species